rnacentral:rRNA from 1 species
GAAUAUUGGACAAUGGGGGGAGCCCUUAUCCAGCCAUGCCGCGUGUGUGAAGAAGGCCUUUUGGUUGUAAAGCACUUUAAGCGAGGAGGAGGCUACUCUAGUUAAUACCCAGGCAUAGUGGACGUUACACGCAGAAUACGCACCGGCUAACUCUGUGCCAGCAGCCGCGGUAAUACAGAGGGUGCAAGCGUUAAUCGGAUAUAGUGGGCGUAAAGCGCGCGUAGGUGGCCAAUUGAGUCAAAUGUGAAAUCCCCGAGCUUAACUUGGGAAUUGCAUGCGAUACUGGUUGGCUAGAGUAUGGGAGAGGAUGGUAGAAUUCCAGGUGUAGCGGUGAAAUGCGUAGAGAUCUGGAGGAAUACCGAUGGCGAAGGCAGCCAUCUGGCCUAAUACUGACACUGAGGUGAGAAAGCAUGGGGAGCAAACA